AUGGAGAUCGCUACCAUCGCUCUUAUUCUGGCGACGAUGAUUGCCUCCAAAGCCGCACCGCAGAACAACGGUUGCUCGAGCGUGAUGAUGACCCUAUCCCCAUGCCUUGACUUCAUCGGAAGCAAAGCCCUGGAGCCCGGCUUCUCCUGCUGCACCACGCUCGCCGGCAUCGUCCAGACCGACCCCCGUUGCCUGUGCAUGGUUCUCGAUGGCAGUGCGGCGUCAUUUGGCAUCGCCAUUAACCACACGAGGGCCCUGGAGCUCCCUGGCAUCUGCAAGGUCCAAGCACCGCCGAUUAGCCAAUGCACAGCCAUCCCAGUUCCUCCAGCAACAGCGCCAGAGGACCCACCGGAGGAGACGAGCAACCAAGUCGCAGAUGCACCUAAAGGAAGCCCGAAUUCGAAUGCAACAUCAAGCUCCAGGAACUCAAAGAGUGCAGCAAAUUUGAUGGUCACUAUGCUUAUACCUACAUGUGCAUUAAUCUAUGUCUUCUAA
rnacentral:rRNA from 1 species